ACGAGUUACACGGCCCUGUUCAUCCACAGCACCAGCCCUGCGAUAUAUCCUCGCCUGCUGCGGCAAACCCUGCGAUUUCUCCAGACGUACCCUGGCUGCUGAUUUAUUCCCGCGAAAGAGAGCGAGCUGCGCUGCCACGGGGCUUUUGACAACUCCUUUGCUGUCUCUGAGUGCCGGGGAGCCUGAGCAGCAACGUAAAGCGCAGGGUGAAGAGUACAGUGGAGCCCACUGGAAGAAAAGCUGUAGUCAUUAAUAUGGAUUCCAAGGGAGAAGAACAGACAGCUAACGCUCUACUGAAUGAAAGAUAUAUGAACCAUAAAAUUGCCGGAGAAUCUCUAAUGUACACGUUCAAGUCAUCAGGCUUCAGUACUUUUUAAGUGGUGAACAUUCCAGACCUUCAGACAAAACCCGCUACAUGGAAUAAAACCCCAAACCCAUUAAAUUAGCUGCGUUGCCCAUGCAACAGUUUUUCCUCACAUUGUACAUAUUAGGAAUAUCUGAAAAUAAUAAGCUAUGUGCAGUAGCACAAAAUCUGACCAGGGCAGCUGGGAAGGGUUCCACAGCCGGCGUGAGAAUCGGGCACGGCACUCCGGAGAAAAGGUGGGGAACCGGAGCAAUGCGACGGAUCAUCUGGCAAAGGUUUUGUUUGCCGCUUUGCGGAGGCUCUAAUGUUGGUGUGUGUGAGUGUGCGAUGCAUGACUGCGGUGGGCCUCCCACAUGAGAGUUAGAAAGGCUGAACUCUUCUGCAGAUGCAAGGCAGCGGUACGUGAGCCUGAGGUUCAGUGAGCAUGCAAUUAUGUGUGAGAUUCAAUUACGGGCUUUUGAAGGCAUCCCUUCUUCAUUUUGACCAGUAUUUAUGUAACUUCUGCAUGAUAUAUAUAGUUCUUCUUGC